AUCAGUUCACCAUGCAGGCCGUGGGCCAAGCCACUGAAGGGAUCCACCUGGACUAGGAGUGACUGGGCUGGCCACAGAGCUCUGCCCUACCCGCUCACCGCUGGACAUGAAACAGCAAGUGCCUAUCCUGGAGGGCUCCGCCUGGGGAGUGCCAGGGAGAAGAAGACAGAGGUCCCAGGAGUCCCAGGGGCCCCCAUUACUGGCCACCUCCGCUCAACCCAAACUGCACUAUGUGAGGUCCCGCCAGACUACAUACAGGCCAACGAGAGCCCAAGAAUGCAGCCAGGAAACCAGGCCAGGCAGACUCCAAAAGCCCGUGCUACGGGGUCAGUAGGACCCGCCUACAGCUGAGGGCUAUAGGCAGCU